GGCACAGAAAUACAUGAUCAAUUAUUUAAUACAUUUUAUUUCAAAAAUAUAAAAUAUAUAUUUUAUAAAGAUAUAUUUAUGAUAUUUAAAUAAAAUAUUGUUAGGAAUAAAAUAUAUAGGAAUCUUGAUUUUAUUAUAUUUAUAAAUAAUAAAAAAUAGAUUAAAAGUAGAAUUUCCACAACAUUUUUGAUAGAUGCUGUUAAAUAAACUAUUUGAUACAUGUUUUAGAUACUUUCUAGGGUUUACUGCUGCUACUUUAUAGCAUAGUGCACGUUUAAACAAGCAGCUUGGCCCAAACAAACUGAGUUUAAAGAGCGUCCCAUUCGGGACGGGUUGCGAAUGAGAUCCAGCAGCAGUUCGGUGGGAGGUCCCUUUAAGUUUCCAUUGAGGGAGGCCGCACUAUGUCACAUGAUGAACAUGAUAUAAUAAAACAGCGAACAGAAAAGUGUGUGUGUCCAUGACUACAAAAUAAGACUAAAGCAACGCAGUCGGCCAGUACACGCCCCAUUUUCAGAGAUGGGGCUACUGGAGCUGCAGUGUUCCCAACAUCACCCAGUGAUGAUUUCGUAGUGCGGACCGGACUGCACCUGCUGCCACGCAUAAAACGUACUUCACAGAAACGCAAGAGGACGCAUGAAGUUAUCUGCGACUCCUUCAUAUGAUGAAUGACACAGUUAACGCAAACUCCUCGCGCGCAUGUGAGAACUGAGAAAUGUGCGGAUUGAGCAACAAACACCUGCUUGUCAAUGUGGCUGAAUGGAUAGUGAGAGAGAGAGGAGAGAGAGCCGGAGGUGAGUACACAUCGUCCGCACACAUUGUUUUGAUCUGUCCUGUGUGUUUUUUUAUCCCCACUGUUGGCUUGUGCUGGAGUGUUUAUAUGUCUGGGACAUUCACACUCACAUGGGCUGACACUCCUGACUUCCUUCAGAGAAUUGAUCUUGACACAUUUGUGGGUUGUUGAAUUUAAACAGAUUUGCAUAUGCAUACUUCUGAGGUGAUUUUUACAAAUUACGUAAAAUGAGAUUAAACUCGGACAAAAUUACUCAGAGUAUGGGAAAGACAACAUGCUCAUUGUAUUCUCUGUUAUGUCAUUUGUCAAGUUAUGUCAUGUUCACAAAUUAAACAGCAGCUGAAAACAACUGUACAACAUGACGAUUCCUACAGCUUGGAUGUAAUAUAAAUAUUUCUGUCUUUGUCUCAGUUGUUUCUCCUACACAACAAUGAAAUUGAGAUUUUAAAGGUUUUUUUUUAAAGAGAAAUAGUCUCUAUUAAAUCUCACACCCCUGUCUCAAAGAUCUAAAAGUCUCAAACUGAUAGGAUUUAAAAGUCUUCAAAAUUCAGAAAAUUCUAUAUGAACUUAAACAUUUCUUCCUUAUUUAAGCUACUAUUCCCUUUAAUUUUAUGCAACAAUGCUCUUAUAAUGUCAACGAAUGCCUCAUUUGUUUCUAACUCUAUUUUUGUAUUAGAAGAUACAUCUAAGUUGUUUUUCAAAGUCUCUCAAACUAUGAAAGAGUACUACAAAAGAUUGUAGUGAAGUCAAUAAGUUCACCACUCUCUGUCUGCAUGUGGUUAGGAUAUCACGCACAGUGAGAAAGGCAGAGGAAGGGCUGUGAACAGUACUACUGAAAUUAAUCUGUCACAAUAGGUCGGCUUCAGGAUGACUGAGCGCCGUGAUUGGCUGAAUGACAUGUCCCUCAAGCAUAUUUUGUUUGUGGUUGGAUGGCGCGUCCCUGGCUGAAUGCCAAACCUCCUGUGGGGAUUUUACCGCUUUCUUAGGAAAGCAAUGUGCUCUCUGGGGUUUCCGGGGGACUGAGGCCUCGCUACAGUUGUGCAAAAAUGAAACGCUUUGAAUCUCUACCUCGCUGCGCUUACGGCACAUAUAAAAGUGUCCUGUACUCAAAGCCAGAUCAAAGUUUGUGACGUGUGUAGUCUGAGAGUGUUGUUUUUAUCACUUGACGUGAGGUUUUGAAUUGAGUUUUCAAAGAUAAAUGGAAACACCAAAGCAGUAACAAAGAAGAUAUGUGGGGAGAUGAUUCAGAAAUAUGUAAAUGCAAAGUGAAGACAAAUUGUGGUGAGGGAAUAUGUCUUUUAAAUAUGGAUACAAAGAUGGAGUUGACACAUAAGUUGUGCUACAGACAAGAGGGAUACCAUAAAUCAUACAAUAAAGUGCUGUUACUUUUCA
ensembl:lncRNA